GUGCUGACUUUGGCAGCACAUAUACUAAAAUGGGAAUGAUACAGAAAUUAGCAAGACCCCUGCAUGAAUGACAUGCAUAUUCAUGAAAUGUUCCAUAUUUUC
rnacentral:snRNA from 1 species